AAGAAAAAAUGUAUUUUUUAUUUAUUUAAUGUCUGCAAAAAAAAUCUGUUUAAAUUAUAAUGAUCAAUAAUCAACAUCCUAUGUACAUGUAUAGCUUCAGAAUAAAUAGUACAGAAUUUAGCCAACGGUAACAUUUUAACAAGCGAAAAAUAAAAUACAUGAAUUAUA